CAGCGGACAACAGAGGCCGUCAUCUCAAGUUGUUACUCACGCCGGACUCACACAGGAGGCUGGCUGCUCACCUGUUCCUGCGGUACAGGUCCUAUUUCUCUCUGGCUUGCUGACUUCUCAAUCGCGCUGUGUAGGUUAGUGUUAAGCGCCACACAUCAAUCUUCUCACGAAAUGAAAAACAAAUCUAUAUUCUGAUAACAUCAACUAGCGGCACAAUCUGGCUCUGUUUGGGAGCUGCAGAAGUUAAUAUGAGGAUUUUUUGCUGAGAUGUCUGCCUGAUUGGCAGUGUUGGUUUCGUUUUUUUAGGCUAUGUCCGAUGAAGUGCAGUGCACUUGUCUCAGGCGGGUAGUCCAGGCUCAGAGGAAAUCUGACGAGGCGUACUGGAGAGUGGUCAGGGCGGACAGGCAAGCUGGCGGACGGCGAGCAAACUGGCUGGUAACUUAGCGGGCGGGCAGGCAGGCAGCGACUCCGCACACGGGAGAAACUGUGACAGACGGAAAACAAGACGUUAGGCAAGAUCAUUUUUGACAUUGAAGCAUAUGGCCGAACCACCCCGAUACUGUGUUCUGCUUGAGGUGUCUACCUGUUAAAGGGAGUGGUGGGAAUUAUUGGGUUUCUGUUAAUAAUGUUCUAGACCUGCUAGAUUACCUUUGUUAUGAAUUGGGGCAAGCCACUUGACUGCUUCUUCUGAGUUCAUUUUGGCUGACAAGUUGCUCGUGGUCUUCGUUUUCGGAAGCUGUAAGUGGUAAGGACCUGUUCUUUUUACCCGUACCUGCUUUUUGUAGAAUUUUCAUUUUGAGCAGCCUGUGCUGGUGGUGUCCAUAGAGAAAGCUCUGUUUUUACAUGUCUGUGUUUAAGCUCUUAAGCUUAGCUCUUGAUAGGCUGCUUUUGUAACAGUCUCUUUGGUUUGGAGAGAUUAAUUUUACUCUUGUGUUCCUGUCUAUACUUUCAGAUAUCAGGCUUAUUUUAUUGGGCAUAAUAAAUGCAAAAGUUACGUGUUUCUAUGAGUAAAAACAGGUAAUUUAAAUUUUUAACAAACAGAUAUUUUGGACUUGUAUUCAGCCAAUGGUUUGAAGUGUUUAUGAACUUUAAUGAGUCACUAAAAGCCUAAAACUGUGCAAGUUAUCUGUUAUUAUAAAUGGGGGAAAAAAGGGCAUCAAAGAGUAGACAUGGCUUUUAGGUCAGUGUAAUGCUACAAAUUACAAAAGUGUGCCUCUUUUUCUCUCUGAAUUUCCAAAACUUUAUUUCAUCCUCUUCCCUUUCGUAAGUAAAAGCAAAUGCAUAAGGCUGCUCUUCAACUACCAAUAAUAUGUUGUGCUUGUGGAAUAUGUUUCUAGGUGGAAUUUCUGAGGAUUACUACUGUUCCACUGUCUCAAAGUUCGUUGACAAACGCACUUCCAAUCUCCUCAGUGUGUUGAAGAAGAAAGGAGACUCUGCAGGAAGGGAACUUCGCAUACUUUUGGCCCAAAGGAUUCAAAUGCUACAGAUGUUCCAAGGGAGCUUAGACAGGUUAUCCUUACAGCAUCAGUGUUGAGGGAGGUGAUGCCACCACUCCUCCAGCUGAUGUUGGAAUAGUCCCCAAGGGUGCUGAAGUUCUGCAGGACUUGGGAGACAUCGCCUCUGCUUGUGAAAUCUUAAUACUGUAGGUGUAAUAUAUGCACUGAACCUCACUAAUCCUCAGAACCUUAAAGCCUUCUUUGACUCUCAACCAAGGUACAGAAUGCUCAAGAACAAACUCUAUGAAUGAGCCAAUCAUUGAUUUGGAUGCUGAGUGUUCUGUAGAAUAGAACUCUAGGCAAUGCUUCACCAAAAUUGUUGACAACUAAACGUUAUUUUGCAAACUUUUCAACACUUUAUAGUGCCAAUAGUUUUACUGUAUAUUUUAUUUUUUUGACCAAUUGCACCAAAAUGUUAACUAUAUUAGUGCCGUGUUGGUGAAUAAAGUCCAUAACAAAAAUAAGUUGAAAUGAAUUUGUGUGGAACCUGUUGACAAAGAUUCGAAUUAUGUUAAACUAAUUUGUUUUCAUUAAUUCAACAUAAAUGUAUAUAUUUACUACAAAAAAAUGUAUAUAUUUACUACAAAAAAAAAGGACAAAUGUAAAAUUUGUAAUAUAUUAAGUUUAUACAACAUAACUGACUUAAUUUUGGUAAGCUUAAAUAUAUAUUGUUGAUCAGAUGUUUUUUAUUUUUUGUUGGAUCAAUUGACAAUCAUUGUGUUACUGUUAUACAAGUUCAUUAAGUUAGAUGACCUUAACAUUUUACUUUUAACUAACCUAAUACAAUUUUGUGGAAUAUGUUGAAAAAAUAAAUAUAAUUAAAGUCAA